CUACAAACAGACUUCCCACCUUCUUGACUUUUAUGCUCCCUUCAAUUUAGUUACAAUGUGGGAAAAUGGGAGUGGUAGAGAAAAGUCUUUGGAUGAAAUUGGAUAGGUUGUGUAGUACUGUAUCAAUCAAAUUCAAAAUACGAUGCCCCACUUCUUCAAUGCGUUUGAUUUUCUCUCUUUAUCUAAUACAUUGUUCUUCAAUUUCUGCUCUGCAUUAUUCUUCAUAAGUAUUGCUAUUGGUGUUUUCGAUUUUUCUUUUCCUUAUUCUGCGCGUUUCUUUCUGAUGGAUUCUUCCACUGUUGCAGCAGAAUCAUCUACUUUCAAAUGGAGCUAUGAUGUGUGUUUGAGUUUCAGAGGAGAGGAUACUCGAGACAAUUUCACCAGUCAUCUUGACAUGGCCUUGCGUCAAAAGGGUGUCAACGUCUUCAUUGACGACCAGCUCGAAAGGGGUGAGCAAAUUUCUGAAACCCUUUUCAAAUCUAUACACAAAACUUCCAUUUCUAUUGUUAUAUUCUCUGAAAAUUAUGCAUCUUCGACAUGGUGUCUGGAUGAAUUGGUGGAAAUAAUUGAAUGUAAGAAAUCCAAGGGUCAGGAAGUUUUGCCGAUUUUCUACAAGGUGGAUCCUUCGGAUGUACGAAAACAAACUGGUUGGUUUGGAGGAGCAUUGGCCAAACAUGAGGCUAAUUUCAUGGAGAAGAUUCCAAUAUGGAGGGAUGCUUUAACUACUGCUGCCAACUUAGCUGGUUGGGAUCUCGGAACCAUAAGAAAGGAGGCUGAUCUUAUUCAAGUUAUUGUUGAACGAGUGUUGUCUAUAUUAAAUCAAACCCACACGCCCUUAAAGGUAGCUGAGUAUCCAGUUGGAAUUGAUUACAAAAUAGAAUCCCUUUACUGGACACAAGAAAUGUACAAGUCUGAAUGUGUUGACAUGGUGGGGAUAUAUGGCAUUCGAGGCAUUGGUAAAACAACUUUGGCUAAAGCUUUAUACAACAAAAUUGCUAGCCAAUUUGAAGGCUGCUGCUUUCUAUCAAAUGUUAGGGAAGCUUCAAAGCAAUUCAAUGGCCUUGCUCAAUUACAGAAAAAGCUCCUUUUUCAAAUCUUAAAGUAUGAUUUGGAGGUUGUCGAUCUUGACAGGGGACAUAAUAUCAAGCAAGCAGGACAAUAAUUCUAGUGCCUUUAGGGAGUUCGUUCUAAUGAAUAGUGGGAUUCCAGAAUGGUUGAGCUAUCAGACUACAUCAGAUUCAAUAAGGGUUAGUUUUCAACACAAUCGCAAUACAGAAAGAACUUUGGCUACAUCUGUUACUUUUCGAGUGGAUGGGGAUUCAUAUCAAGGAAUGGCCUUAGUUUCAUGUAACAUAUUCAUCGGCUGUAGACUCAAAAGUUGUUAUAUGAGAAAAUUUCCAACAUCAACAUCAGAAUAUACAUGGUACAAGAAUUUGGUCAAAUCCUUUGCUCAAGAAGUCUCUGCCAAAUCAGAUUGCAAAUAUGGUCUGUUGCUUGUAGACAAUUUUUUAAUUGCGACUAAUUCCAAAAUGCAAGCAUACGAUCAUGUACAUGACGAUAUUCGUUUUACACCAAAACGUGGCAUGGAAGGCCUGACAGAGAUAACACUCUCCAAAUCUAUAUGGGACAAAUUUGUAAAAGAUCAUAAUAUUACCUCUGAAAUACUAGCUUCAAAUGAUUCUAAUGCAUUGGUUCGUGGAUACAUAGAUGGAGAUAAACUCUAUCUGGUCACACACGAUAGACAACACUUCCAAGAAUAUUUGGGAUAGGUGGGGAACCUUUUUAAGGGUGGAUGAUAAAAAAGAAAGAAGAAGAUAGUAGAGAAGCUAAGAGGCUCAAUGGAAGGACACCCAAAUACGUCCAAUAUCAUAGAUCAUGAAUGAAUUCAUCUACCAUGGAUUGAUUAUUUUCACCUUUCAAUUAGAUAUCCAGAUUUAUGAAAGAGCAAUUGCUUUGUUAGUGUGUGAUGUAUGCUCACUUAUUUUCUUCAUAUAAUGUCAUUGACAUUCAAAGAUAAAUCUCAUUUGAAGAUGAAGCGUGACAGAAUUUUAUUCUUCUUGCCUAUACCCA